rnacentral:piRNA from 1 species
UGCUAAAAUGGGAAACAGGUUGUGCUCUA